rnacentral:rRNA from 1 species
AGAUUGAACGCUGGCGGCAGGCCUAACACAUGCAAGUCGAGCGGAAACGAGUUAUCUGAACCUUCGGGGAACGAUAACGGCGUCGAGCGGCGGACGGGUGAGUAAUGCCUAGGAAAUUGCCCUGAUGUGGGGGAUAACCAUUGGAAACGAUGGCUAAUACCGCAUGAUGCCUACGGGCCAAAGAGGGGGACCUUCGGGCCUCUCGCGUCAGGAUAUGCCUAGGUGGGAUUAGCUAGUUGGUGAGGUAAGGGCUCACCAAGGCGACGAUCCCUAGCUGGUCUGAGAGGAUGAUCAGCCACACUGGAACUGAGACACGGUCCAGACUCCUACGGGAGGCAGCAGUGGGGAAUAUUGCACAAUGGGCGCAAGCCUGAUGCAGCCAUGCCGCGUGUGUGAAGAAGGCCUUCGGGUUGUAAAGCACUUUCAGUCGUGAGGAAGGUAGUGUAGUUAAUAGCUGCAUUAUUUGACGUUAGCGACAGAAGAAGCACCGGCUAACUCCGUGCCAGCAGCCGCGGUAAUACGGAGGGUGCGAGCGUUAAUCGGAAUUACUGGGCGUAAAGCGCAUGCAGGUGGUUUGUUAAGUCAGAUGUGAAAGCCCGGGGCUCAACCUCGGAAUAGCAUUUGAAACUGGCAGACUAGAGUACUGUAGAGGGGGGUAGAAUUUCAGGUGUAGCGGUGAAAUGCGUAGAGAUCUGAAGGAAUACCGGUGGCGAAGGCGGCCCCCUGGACAGAUACUGACACUCAGAUGCGAAAGCGUGGGGAGCAAACAGGAUUAGAUACCCUGGUAGUCCACGCCGUAAACGAUGUCUACUUGGAGGUUGUGGCCUUGAGCCGUGGCUUUCGGAGCUAACGCGUUAAGUAGACCGCCUGGGGAGUACGGUCGCAAGAUUAAAACUCAAAUGAAUUGACGGGGGCCCGCACAAGCGGUGGAGCAUGUGGUUUAAUUCGAUGCAACGCGAAGAACCUUACCUACUCUUGACAUCCAGAGAACUUUCCAGAGAUGGAUUGGUGCCUUCGGGAACUCUGAGACAG